AGAGUUUGAUCCUGGCUCAGAACGAACGCUGGCGGCAGGCCUAACACAUGCAAGUCGAGCGAGAUCUUCGGAUCUAGCGGCGGACGGGUGAGUAACGCGUGGGAAUGUGCCCUUCUCUACGGAAUAGUCCCGGGAAACUGGGUUUAAUACCGUAUACGCCCUUCGGGGGAAAGAUUUAUCGGAGAAGGAUCAGCCCGCGUUGGAUUAGGUAGUUGGUGGGGUAAUGGCCUACCAAGCCGACGAUCCAUAGCUGGUUUGAGAGGAUGAUCAGCCACACUGGGACUGAGACACGGCCCAGACUCCUACGGGAGGCAGCAGUGGGGAAUCUUAGACAAUGGGGGAAACCCUGAUCUAGCCAUGCCGCGUGAGUGACGAAGGCCCUAGGGUCGUAAAGCUCUUUCGCCAGGGAUGAUAAUGACAGUACCUGGUAAAGAAACCCCGGCUAACUCCGUGCCAGCAGCCGCGGUAAUACGGAGGGGGUUAGCGUUGUUCGGAAUUACUGGGCGUAAAGCGCACGUAGGCGGACUAUUAAGUCAGGGGUGAAAUCCCGGGGCUCAACCCCGGAACUGCCUUUGAUACUGGUAGUCUUGAGUUCGAGAGAGGUGAGUGGAAUUCC
rnacentral:rRNA from 1 species